AAUCUUCCGCAAUGGACGAAAGUCUGACGGAGCGAGGCCGCGUGAGGGAUGAAGGUCUUCGGAUCGUAAAACCCUGUGGUUAGGGAAGAACAAUUAUCGGAGAAAUAUGCCGGUACCUUAACGGUACCUAACCAAAAAGCCCCGGCUAACUAGGGGCCAGCAGCCGCGGUAAUACGUAGGGGGCAAGCGUUGUCCGGAAUUAUUGGGCGUAAAGGGCACGCAGGCGGUUAUUUAAGUCUGAUGUGAAAUCUUGUGGCUUAACCACAAGCGGUCAUUGGAAACUGGAUAACUUGAGUACAGAAGAGGAGAGUGGAAUUCCACGUGUAGCGGUGAAAUGCGUAGAGAUGUGGAGGAACACCAGUGGCGAAGGCGGCUCUCUGGUCUGUAACUGACGCUGAGGUGCGAAAGCGUGGGUAGCGAACA
rnacentral:rRNA from 1 species